CUACGGGAGGCAGCAGUGGGGAAUCUUGCACAAUGGAGGAAACUCUGAUGCAGCGAUGCCGCGUGAGUGAAGAAGGCCCUUGGGUUGUAAACCUCUUUCGUCGGGGAAGAAAAUGACUGUACCCGAAUAAGAAGGUCCGGCUAACUUCGUGCCAGCAGCCGCGGUAAUACGAAGGGACCUAGCGUAGUUCGGAAUUACUGGGCUUAAAGAGUUCGUAGGUGGUUGAAAAAGUUAGUGGUGAAAUCCCAGAGCUUAACUCUGGAACUGCCAUUAAAACUUUUCAGCUAGAGUAUGAUAGAGGAAAGCAGAAUUUCUAGUGUAGAGGUGAAAUUCGUAGAUAUUAGAAAGAAUACCAAUUGCGAAGGCAGCUUUCUGGAUCAUUACUGACACUGAGGAACGAAAGCAUGGGUAGCGAAGAGGAUUAGAUACCCUCGUAGUCCAUGCCGUAAACGAUGUGUGUUAGACGUUGGAAAUUUAUUUUCAGUGUCGCAGCGAAAGCGAUAAACACACCGCCUGGGGAGUACGACCGCAAGGUUAAAACUCAAAGGAAUUGACGGA
rnacentral:rRNA from 1 species